rnacentral:rRNA from 1 species
UACGUAGGGACCGAGCGUUGUCCGGAAUCAUUGGGCGUAAAGAGCGUGUAGGCGGCCACUUAAGUCCUGCGUGAAAUCUUGCGGCUCAACCGCAAGCGGUCGUGGGAACUGGGUGGCUAGAGUACGGUAGGGGCAGAGGGAAUUCCCGGUGUAGCGGUGAAAUGCGUAGAUAUCGGGAAGAACACCAAAGGCGAAAGCGCUCUGCUGGGCCGAAACUGACACUGAGAGACGAAAGCUAGGGGAGCGAAUGGG